GUGAGGAAUAUUGGUCAAUGGGCGGGAGCCUGAACCAGCCAAGUCGCGUGAAGGAAGAAGGAUCUAUGGUUCGUAAACUUCUUUUGCAGGGGAAUAAAGUGCAGGACGUGUCCUGUUUUGUAUGUACCCUGAGAAUAAGGAUCGGCUAACUCCGUGCCAGCAGCCGCGGUAAUACGGAGGAUCCGAGCGUUAUCCGGAUUUAUUGGGUUUAAAGGGUGCGUAGGUGGUUUGAUAAGUCAGCGGUGAAAGUUUGCAGCUUAACUGUAAAAAUGCCGUUGAAACUGUCAGACUUGAGUGUAAAUGAGGUAGGCGGAAUGCGUGGUGUAGCGGUGAAAUGCAUAGAUAUCACGCAGAACUCCGAUUGCGAAGGCAGCUUACUAAGCUACAACUGACACUGAAGCACGAAAGCGUGGGGAUCAAACAGGAUUAGAUACCCCAGUAGUCC
rnacentral:rRNA from 1 species